CUGGGGUUGCUACAGCAAGAUGGAUGGUCAUUCAAAUUGAAACAAUAAAAAUAAAAUAAAAUGUUUUGCUAUAAUAUUUCUGUUAAUUUCCUAAAGGUUGCAGAACAAUCUUAUCUGGAAGGGCAUUGAUGCAAAGGAGAUCCAAAUCAUUUUUCUACCUAUUCUGUGGUGGAAUAUACAUAAGCGAUCCAGAUUUAUCAACAGAGAGAUAACUUCAAGACAAUCCUCCCCACCACCAUUAUAUGAGUGCCAUCUCUGGAUGCAAGUUUCAGUGAACUGCUAGCUCACAUGCCUUAACAUCUGCGUGACUACAAUGCAAGAAGGGAAUAAAUGUGAUUACUGACAAGAAAGAA